rnacentral:rRNA from 1 species
UACAGAGGGUGCAAGCGUUAUUCGGAAUCACUGGGCGUAAAGCGUGCGUAGACGGUUAUUUAAGUCGGGUGUGAAAGCCCCGGGCUCAACCUGGGAAUUGCAUUCGAGACUGAAUAGCUAGGGUACGGUAGAGGGAAGUGGAAUUUCCGGUGUAGCGGUGAAAUGCGUAGAUAUCGGAAGGAACAUCAGUGGCGAAAGCGACUUCCUGGACCAGUACCGACGUUCAGGCACGAAAGCGUGGGGAGCAAACAGG